rnacentral:lncRNA from 1 species
AGGCACUCUGGCACCCAGUUUUGGAACUGCAGUUUUAAAAGUCAUAAAUUGAAUGAAAAUGAUAGCAAAGGUGGAGGUUUUUAAAGAGCUAUUUAUAGGUCCCUGGACAGCAUCUUUUUUCAAUUAGGCAGCAACCUUUUUGCCCUAUGCCGUAACCUGUGUCUGCAACUUCCUCUAAUUGGGAAAUAGUUAAGCAGAUUCAUAGAGCUGAAUGAUAAAAUUGUACUACGAGAUGCACUGGGACUCAACGUGACCUUAUCAAGUGAGAUGGAGUCUUGCCCUGUCUCCAAGGCUGGAGCCCAAUGGUGUGAUCUUGGCUCACUGCAACCUCCACCUCCCAGGUUCAAACGUUUCUCCUGCCUCAGCCUCCCAAGUAACUGGGAUUACAGGCUUGGUGCAUUUGACACUUCAUGAUAUCAGCCAAAGUGGAACUAAAAACAGCUCCUGGAAGAGGACUAUGACAUCAUCAGGUUGGGAGUCUCCAGGGACAGCGGACCCUUUGGAAAAGGACUAGAAAGUGUGAAAUCUAUUAGUCUUCGAUAUGAAAUUCUCUGUCUCUGUAAAAGCAUUUCAUAUUUACAAGACACAGGCCUACUCCUAGGGCAGCAAAAAGUGGCAACAGGCAAGCAGAGGGAAAAGAGAUCAUGAGGCAUUUCAGAGUGCACUGUCUUUUCAUAUAUUUCUCAAUGCCGUAUGUUUGGUUUUAUUUUGGCCAAGCAUAACAAUCUGCUCAAGAAAAAAAAAUCUGGAGAAAACAAAGGUGCCUUUGCCAAUGUUAUGUUUCUUUUUGACAAGCCCUGAGAUUUCUGAGGGGAAUUCACAUAAAUGGGAUCAGGUCAUUCAUUUACGUUGUGUGCAAAUAUGAUUUAAAGAUACAACCUUUGCAGAGAGCAUGCUUUCCUAAGGGUAGGCACGUGGAGGACUAAGGGUAAAGCAUUCUUCAAGAUCAGUUAAUCAAGAAAGGUGCUCUUUGCAUUCUGAAAUGCCCUUGUUGCAAAUAUUGGUUAUAUUGAUUAAAUUUACACUUAAUGGAAACAACCUUUAACUUACAGAUGAACAAACCCACAAAAGCAAAAAAUCAAAAGCCCUACCUAUGAUUUCAUAUUUUCUGUGUAACUGGAUUAAAGGAUUCCUGCUUGCUUUUGGGCAUAAAUGAUAAUGGAAUAUUUCCAGGUAUUGUUUAAAAUGAGGGCCCAUCUACAAAUUCUUAGCAAUACUUUGGAUAAUUCUAAAAUUCAGCUGGACAUUGUCUAAUUGUUUUUUAUAUACAUCUUUGCUAGAAUUUCAAAUUUUAAGUAUGUGAAUUUAGUUAAUUAGCUGUGCUGAUCAAUUCAAAAACAUUACUUUCCUAAAUUUUAGACUAUGAAGGUCAUAAAUUCAACAAAUAUAUCUACACAUACAAUUAUAGAUUGUUUUUCAUUAUAAUGUCUUCAUCUUAACAGAAUUGUCUUUGUGAUUGUUUUUAGAAAACUGAGAGUUUUAAUUCAUAAUUACUUGAUCAAAAAAUUGUGGGAACAAUCCAGCAUUAAUUGUAUGUGAUUGUUUUUAUGUACAUAAGGAGUCUUAAGCUUGGUGCCUUGAAGUCUUUUGUACUUAGUCCCAUGUUUAAAAUUACUACUUUAUAUCUAAAGCAUUUAUGUUUUUCAAUUCAAUUUACAUGAUGCUAAUUAUGGCAAUUAUAACAAAUAUUAAAGAUUUCGAAAUAGA